rnacentral:rRNA from 1 species
GUGGGUGUGAGUAGAGUGGCGGACGGGUGAGUAAUGCGUGGGAAUUUGUCCUGCAGUGGGGGAUAACCCGAGGAAACUCGGGCUAAUACCGCAUACGUCCUAUGGGAGAAAGGGGGCCUUUGGGCUCUCGCUGCAGGAUGAGCCCGCGUUUGAUUAGCUUGUUGGUGGGGUAAUGGCCCACCAAGGCUGUGAUCGGUAGCUGGUCUGAGAGGAUGAUCAGCUACAUUGGGAUUGAGAUAUGGCCCAGACUCCUAUGGGAGGUAGUAGUGGGGAAUAUUGGAUAAUGGGCGAAAGCCUGAUCCAGCAAUGCCGCGUGUGUGAAGAAGGCCUGUGGGUUGUAAAGCACUUUCAGUGGGGAAGAAAAGUGUGAGGUUAAUAUCCUUGUGUGUUGAUGUUACCCACAGAAGAAGCACCGGUUAACUCCGUGCCAGUAGUUGUGGUAAUAUGGAGGGUGCAAGCGUUAAUCGGAAUCACUGGGCGUAAAGCGCACGUAGGCGGCUAGGUCAGUCAGAUGUGAAAGUCCCGGGUUUAACCUGGGAAUUGCAUUUGAUACUGCCUGGCUUGAGUAUGGUAGAGGGAGGUGGAAUUUUAGGUGUAGUGGUGAAAUGUGUAGAUAUUUGGAGGAAUAUUAGUGGUGAAGGUGGCCUCCUGGAUUAAUACUGACGCUGAGGUGCGAAAGCGUGGGGAGUAAACAGGAUUAGAUAUUCUGGUAGUCCACGCUGUAAAUGAUGUCGACUAGCCGUUGGAUCCAUUUAAGGGUUUAGUGGCGUAGUUAAUGUGAUAAGUCGACCGCCUGGGGAGUACGGCCGCAAGGUUAAAACUCAAAGGAAUUGACGGGGGCCCGCACAAGCGGUGGAGCAUGUGGUUUAAUUUGAUGCAAUGUGAAGAAUUUUACCAGCCCUUGAUAUCCUCGGAAUUUAGUAGAGAUGUUUUGGUGUCUUUGGGAGCCGAGUGAUAGGUGCUGUAUGGCUGUCGUCAGCUCGUGUUGUGAGAUGUUGGGUUAAGUCUCGUAACGAGCGUAACCCUUGUCCUUAGUUGCCAGUGAGUUAUGUUGGGAACUUUAAGGAGACUGCCGGUGAUAAACCGGAGGAAGGUGGGGAUGACGUUAAGUCAUUAUGGCUCUUAUGGGCUGGGUUAUACACGUGCUACAAUGGUCGGUAUAGAGGGUUGCGAAGCAGUGAUGUGGAGUUAAUUCCAGAAAACCGAUCGUAGUCCGGAUCGCAGUCUGUAAUUUGACUGCGUGAAGUCGGAAUCGCUAGUAAUCGCGAAUUAGAAUGUCGCGGUGAAUAUGUUCCCGGGCCUUGUACACACCGCCCGUCACACCAUGGGAGUUGGUUGCACCAGAAGUAGAUAGCCUAACCUUUGGGAGGGCGUUUACCACGGUGUGAUCAAUGACUGGGGUGAAGUCGAAAUAAGGUA